CUGUCUGCAAAGCAUUUCAAUGAGAAAGCAGAGUGGGAACAGGCGAGGACUACUCAGGGCAAACCAGUCUCGUUUCCUAGCCGGUCUAGACAGACACAACAUUCAAACUGAAGACAAAGCCCUUCCCAAAAGGACCUGAGUGCUCAGUUUGGCAGGACGAGGUCAUCACACAUGUCAAUCACCAUGUCUUUGUGAAUGUUGUAAAUUAAUAUCUUGUGUUUUUCCUUAGAAACUAAAAUUGUGUGACUUAUAGGGGAUGAUACGAAUCGUUUUAAUACAUUAAUAGAACAACUUUGGUAGUCUGAUGGUAAAACAUACUGUCCUCUAUUCUCCUCCUGUGUUAUACAUUUUUGGAAGUCAAUAUGCAUUGAGGCCUUUCAGUUCUGUUGUAUAAGUUACAGUGCUCAGUUGUAGAGUGUUUGAUUUUGUCCCAAGGAGGCGCUGUUUGUAAGCCAACUUUUAUUUUACUGCUCAAUGCAAAGUUUAAAUGCUGAUUUACAUCAACUUUAAGAAGUUGCAGUGUCGAGAUGAGAAACUGUCCAGGAAUUUAAUAAAUAUGAUUUAUUUCAUUUUCGACCCAUGGUUGUUUUUUAUCAAGUGAAUGUGUGAAAUGAUAAUAAAAGUAGUUUGUUCUGUUUUUUGACAUAUUAAGUACAAAUGAAAUGAUGAGAAUUAGGUUCAAAUACAAUUCUGUGAAGUUUCGA